rnacentral:rRNA from 1 species
UUUAAUUUGAGAGUUUGAUCCUGGCUCAGGACGAACGCUGGCGGCGUGCCUAACACAUGCAAGUCGAACGAGUUACUUAAGCUUGCUUAAGUAAUUAGUGGCG